rnacentral:rRNA from 1 species
UACGAAGGGGGCUAGCGUUGCUCGGAAUUACUGGGCGUAAAGGGAGCGUAGGCGGACAGUUAAGUCAGUGGUGAAAGCCCCAGGGCUCAACCCUGGAAUUGCCCUUUGAUACUGAUUGUCUUGAGUAUGGGAGAGGUAUGCGGAACUCCGAGUGUAGAGGUGAAAUUCGUAGAUAUUCGGAAGAACACCAGUGGCGAAGGCGGCAUACUGGCCCAUUACUGACGCUGAAGCUCGAAAGCGUGGGAGCAAACAGG